AGCAAGAUUUUGGCUUUUUGACGGCUCUUAAAAGUACAGCAAUGCAUAUUAUACCGUAUAAUUUCGAUUUUCGGUAGGUAAGUGACUUUUACUAAACUUUUGGUGAUAUUGAAAAUUGAAAUAAGCUGAUAAAAUGUGAUUCAAGUCGUUUUUAUGAGGUCUCCGCAGCCGUAUGCGGUUAUUCCUUUUUUCCAGUUCGAUUAAAUAAAAAAUAUGUUGACCAGUUUACUUACCGCUUUGGAAAUCCUGUCAGCUAUCCGCCAUUUAUUGCACAAUUCUGCGUUACUUAUUGCACGAAUCGUGCGUUAUUUUCACAUCCCGGUGUUACUGGAUAUACACGGUGAAUAAGACAUAUGAUUAAUCCUCCUUAUACGUGUAUAUGUAAAAAUUGAAAUAGAUUUUAAAGUCUUCAGGACAUGCAAUCGUAUAAUAAUGGAUUUUCAUAUGCCUAAUAAUUUAACCACGAUAUGAACCUAUAUGUGGGGAUAUCAUGUAAGGUGCAUUUACAUAAAAAUACACGGAACAUAAAUCACAUCCUCUAUAUGAAACGAAAAAUACCAACAAGAAACAUUAACAACUGAAAAUGUUAUGCCGUUAAUGCGAUGUACAUGUAAAGCGACCCGGCGCACGGUAUAACUUUAAAAUUUGACGUUAACAACGUCACAAGUGUAUAGUCUUUAACGGAGCAGCUCGAAGUAGGCCAAUACGUGUUUCACAUGUUAAUUGCGGCUGAUCCACUGCCUGUAUAAGUCGGUGUAAUAGACUGUAUGAUGAUAAAUGAGCUCUUGUAAUGACGCAAACUUCCGUUCUUUCCUUCUGUAACUUGAUUGCUGGAAAAUUGCACAUGAAAUAGACUAUUUUAUCACAUAAACCGCGGCGCAGGAGUGUAAUAAAGCCAUUUAAUAAAAACGAUAUUACACUAGUUUAAUAACACUUUGACGUGACGUCAUUUGCGCUAUAUAUAAACAUAGCGUUAAAGCGCGCUAAUGUUAGCAUUACACUAUAGGCGCGUCAUUGAAAGAUUACACUGUAAAAAAUAGUAACGCCUGACGCGUUCCACAGGUGUUUGUUAACAAAACGUAUGUGUUCUCGUUGUGUGCAGUAUAAAAACACAUGCGUUUCUUUAUGGAACGGGUGUUUAUAACUAAAACAGUAAUGUGCAGCGUUUAAACGGUUGGUGUUAAUAUUGGCAUGCCUGUGUGCAAACAUGAAACGUUUGUGUUUACUUUUAUGUCAUAAGCUCAUCUCGUGUUUUGAUUAUUAAUAACAAACAAAACAGAAACAUAACAGUAAACAGAAACAUAACAGUAAGGAUAAGACAAUACGAAUGUUAAGAAAUAUUUAAUGCGAAAGUGUCUCUGUCUUAAACGCCGGUGUUUCAGGGGCGAACAGUCUGCGUAUGUCAUGAGUGCCGAUCAAGAACACCUUCUGAUAUUAUCCGAGGUGUUACGAAUUUAACUUCCUUUCUCCUGCUGCAGUCGAAUUUUUUGGCGCAAAGUUUACCUUUCUUCAUUUUUGCGUAAAUUUAGCAAGGAAAACAUAGAAAAACAACAGCAAAAGGAUGACUCUAAUGUGGCAGUGCUGAAGACUUUAGAAUCAGAAACAGCUUACAGAAAAGGAAAGGGCCAGAAGACUCAGCAUUUGAUGCAAAUAAGUAAGUUGAAGAUGAUGGGAAUCUUGUGAGACUUCUUUCUUCAGCGCCAGAGUCGGCACCAAAGUUGGUUGCAAUUGAGAAAGAUGAAUGUAUUGUGAACAUGGCUAUUGUUUGUGAUGGUACACAUAUUCUUCUAAAGACAGCCGAUUCAAUAGAGGUCAUAGCUGUGUUGAUUGGUUUGAUUAACUUCUUAUGCUAAUAUGCUACUCUGAAUGAAAUAUGUAUGUAUACACAGGUGCUUUGGUUCCUUCAGCAAACUGAACUUAAGCAGCAGUUUGAUGGGCAUAAGAGCUAUGGAUUUGUUCAAUAUUUAAAGAGAAUGAACACGGAAAUGGAGAAAAAAGAAAAGAAGCCAAUGUGACUUAAGUGAUCCAGCUAUCAUAAAAGGAAAAGUUGAACUUAAUAAUAAUGCCUUAAUAUGUAACUAUUCGCACUCUUCAUCAUAAGUAUUUUUGAAGAACUGAUUUCAUAAAUUAAAUGUGAUAUUUGCAAGCUGAAGGCAUUAUUGAGGGGUGAACAUCUCAUCAUAUUUAAUGACUAGUAAAUCCAUAAUUGUUUUAUCCUAUGUUUUGUUACAAAGAUAAAUAGUUUCAUUAACUGUAGAUUUUUUUUUGGUUUGCAAGUAAAUUAAAAGUUAGUAAGUACAUACUUUUUAAUUAUAUUUAUUUAUUUUAUGUUUAUCACAGACUGUACUUAAUGAUGAUCAUGAAUUAUUAAUACAUUGCUUCUGAUCAUCUAUGCUAAUUACAGAGGAUGACUGUUGCACAAUCCAUUUAUAUAAAUGGCACAAGAUUUCAUGAAAAAACACACAUAUUUUAUAAAAGCGAAUGAUUUUAACCAAUAGAAAUGUGGCUAUUUUAGUACAAAUUAAUAAUUUCAUAUUUCUUGCAACAGAUGUUUGAUGAUGUCAUAAUUUUUAGCUUGAUUAUUUAAAAAAUGGUAAGGCAAUAGCUUAGCAGCUGAUUAUAGCAUUAAUGUUGCAUGACACAAUGUUAAGUUUUUUAGACAAAGAAAGACAACCAUGGACUUCUGAUAUUUAUUUGGAACUUCACACAUUUUUUGUAUGCAAAUAUAAGUUCACAUAAAAAGACCAAUAACUCUGUUCUGCAUUUUGACUAAAUGAUGUACCUUUUAGAAAAUUCUGCAUAUAUAAAAUUAUGUAUUUUUUUGUGUGAAAGUUGUAUCUCCAGUCAUAGAAUUUUAGCCGAAACUUUGUACAUGUGUUACAUACGAAAAUAUUAUUUACCAAUACCCAUUCAAGGUAAUUAUGCCUCAUUUUGAAGUAAAUGCAUUGAGAAUUGUGCAGGCAUGUUGUCGCUCUAACAGCUCAUUUCAUGCUUGUGUUUAGCAAAGUUGUAUUCUUGAAUUAUGUUUAAUUAAAAAUGAAAAAAACUGUAUAAUGUUAUAAUAAAUAAAUUCCAAAAAUACUUCAUUAGCAUUUUUUGUAGUUACAAUAUGCUGUACAUGUAUUUCCUUAGUUGUUUUGAUCUUACCUGAACAUAUACAGUAAACACGUAAUGCAUUUGAAAUUGAAAUAUGUGACAUGUUUAUCAGGAACGCUUUGAAAACAGCACACGUGGGUUUGGAAACAUGUUGCAAGUUCCAGUUUGAAACACCAAACGUGUUUACUGUACAUGUUCAAGUGUUCCCAAACUGUAACAUUAUAAGUGUUCUGCUAUGAAACAUGUCACGUGUUUCAGUUUGAAACACCAGGAAGCGUUUAAAACUGGAACAUUUGUGCGUGUAUUCGGGAACAUGUGACGUGUUCCAUUCUAUGGUGUUUCCAAAGUGUAACAGGAAAAGUGUUUCGAAAUGUGUUUAAAACUUAAACGCCCGUUUUUACAGUGUACUCAUUUUAACAGUUUACUGAUCUUAUUCUAUAUACAUGAUACAUGUGAUAAAUAGAAUAUUAUAUUCGUGUAGAUUCAAUACUAAAUUUAUUGAACUCGUUGAAUAAAUUAAGUAUUAAACUACACUCAUUCAAUAUCCUCUAUAAUUAUAUGUCUUAUAUUAAUAUAAUUUUGCUGCAUAAUAAUGUAUCAUACUUACGAGAAAAUAAAAAAAAAUACAACUAAGAACAAAAUUGUCAUUAUUUAAAAAAACAUAUAACGCAUAACCAAGUUUGAACGGGACUGUUAAAUUGUAAAAAAAUGACGAUAAGACUAUUACGAAGAAUAGUUAAAUGAUUUAUACAAUUGUAAACCAAGAACAUAAUAACCACACUGGCCAGAGCUUUCACAGAAUCGGUGGGUCCAUCGAAGCCGCGGUAGAAAUUUCAUCGCAGAAACGGUGGAUAAAAUAUGGCCGUUUGGUUUUGUCGGUAAGUUUACGACUGAAUUCUGCUUUAUGCUUUAAUGUUUUACUGGAAAAAAAGCUAGUGAGACUGAAGCCCACAUAUGUACUUUACCAACUAAUUAUACGCACACGGUGAAAUUCAUUGCCAUUUGCGCAAUCACUUAUGUACAGUUUGAUAAGGGGACGCCACUUUUGCCUAAUUUUGGUUAAAUCACGUACACUUGUGUGCAAAACGACCACUAAAUACGCCAACAUUACAAAGAAUAUAUGAUAAAUACACAAAACAACCAUAUUUUGGAACUUUUAUAAUUGUUAUUACCAUUUUUAUAGAAGAAUUGACAAAAAUUGUUUACAACGCAGACGGCGGUCGAUUUGAUCGUACAUAACGCAGUGCGUUUGUCCCGAUACAAUUAUUAUGUAUAAUGAGGGUUUACUUGACAGAACU